rnacentral:rRNA from 1 species
GACGAACGCUGGCGGCGUACUUAACACAUGCAAGUCGAACGGAAAGGCCCUGCUUUUGUGGGGUGCUCGAGUGGCGAACGGGUGAGUAACACGUGAGUAACCUGCCCUUGAUUUUGGGAUAACUUCAGGAAACUGGGGCUAAUACCGGAUAGGAGCUCCUGCUGCAUGGUGGGGGUUGGAAAGUUUCGGCGGUUGGGGAUGGACUCGCGGCUUAUCAGCUUGUUGGUGGGGUAGUGGCUUACCAAGGCUUUGACGGGUAGCCGGCCUGAGAGGGUGACCGGCCACAUUGGGACUGAGAUACGGCCCAGACUCCUACGGGAGGCAGCAGUGGGGAAUAUUGCACAAUGGGCGGAAGCCUGAUGCAGCAACGCCGCGUGCGGGAUGACGGCCUUCGGGUUGUAAACCGCUUUCGCCUGUGACGAAGCGUGAGUGACGGUAAUGGGUAAAGAAGCACCGGCUAACUACGUG